AUUAUGGCAGAAAACCUUUUCCUGGAGGAUUACAUAACACUUGGCGUAUACUUUUGCAUUGUACUGGCUGUUGGAUUAUGGUCGACUUUCAGACCUAACAAAGGCAAUGCAAAGGGCUACUUUCUGGCGGGAAAGAACAUGCACUGGAUACCUAUUGGUGCCUCAAUAUAUGCAAGUAACAUAGGAGCCCCUAUGUUCAUUGGUUUGGCUGGUACAGCUGCAGGGUCUGGAAUAGCUGUCACUAUAUAUGAAUGGCAUGCUUACACCAUACCUGAAUGGGUGAAGAAGCGAUUUGGAGGACGUCGACUGCGCAUGUACGUGUCCUUUCUCGCUCUACUUGGCUACAUCCUCUUUAAUGUGUCUGGUGAAAUCUAUACAGGAGCAAUCUUCCUACAACAAAUGCUGGAAUGGAAUAUAUACUUAUGUGUCAGCAUAAUUCUUGGAGUCACUGCUGUAUAUACAACAGUUGGUGGUCUGGCGUCCGUUAUCUAUACAGACACCUUGCAGGCCGUGGUACUCAUUAUUGGUGCAACUAUACUGUUCUUUUUCGAUAAUAGAAGUAGGAGGAUACGACGCCAUGGAGACAAAGUUUAUGAAUGCCAUGUCGAAUGAGACCAGGUACAAUCGUUCUCACUAUUCCUGUGGGGUGCCUCCGACAGAUUCGCUCCACAUGUACAGAGAUGCUGUCACAGGGGACAUUCCCUGGCCAGGGGCAAUACUUGGGCUUUCUACCUUGGGUCUCUACACAUGGGACCAGGAUCAGAUAAUCGUUCAACGAACACUCUCUGCUCGAAAUAUGGUACAUGCUAAGGCAGGGACACUGCUGGGAGCUGUGUUGAAAUUGACGGGGUUUCUGUUGUUCGUAAUUCCUGGGAUGAUCAGUCGUAUUCUUUACACAGAGGAGGUGGCAUGUUCUGAUCCAGAUAAAUGCAUGGCGUUCUGCAACAACAAAAGCGGAUGUACCAACAUAGCUUAUCCGCUAAUGGUUCUUCGAUUGCUUCCGAAAGGCCUCCGUGGUCUGAUGUUGGCGGCUUUGUUAGCUGCAUUGAUGAGCUCCUUGACCUCCAUCUUGAAUAGCGCGAGCUCCAUCAUGACACUGGACAUCUGGCACCAGUUCCGCAAAAAAGCGUCUCAGUCGGAGCUGAUGAUCGUGGGACGAGUUACUGUUCUUGUCCUUAUAGCCCUCAGUAUACUGUGGCUGCCCAUUCUACAGCAGACACAGGGUGGACGGUUCUGGUUCUAUAUGCAAUCCGUAAAGUCCUAUCUCAUCCCUCCACUUUGUAUGAUGUUUCUCUUAGGGUUAUUUUGGAACAGAACGACAGAGCAGGGCGUGUUUUGGGGACUAAUGCUGAGCACCAUAGUGGGUGUUGUACGCAUGACCCUAGAUUUUACUUUUCUUGCACCUCCAUGUGGCAGUAACGAAGUUGACACCAGACCAGAAAUCAUAUCCAAAGUGGAUUUUCUACACUUUGCAAUAAUUUUGGCUUUGAUUUCAACCAUAGUUAUGGUGGUCAUCAGUUUAUUUACUCAGCCCCGUCCAGAAAAGAAGCUUCACCGAUUGACAUGGUGGACAAGGAAUGAUGAAGCGGAACCGGAACUGACUGAUAAUGAGGAUGAAGAAGUUCAUACUUCAUUCAUAAAAAGGGGAGAAGAUCCUAAAACCAUGCAGAUACAGGAAAAUGAUCAAACAAAUGGAAAUGAAAAAACUGGAUUUGAACGACUUAAGACUUCGUUUAAAAACUGGGUGUGUGGAAUUGACGAGGACGCAAAGCAGACACUGACAGCUCAGGAACUACAAGAACUCCGGAGAAGGAUGACGUCACUAGAGGAAUCCUCAAAGAUGAAGAUCAUUUUAAAUGUGUCUGCUAUUUUCAUCACUAUUUUGACUAUUGUUUUAUUGGUUUAUUUCGCGUAAAAUGCAGGUACCAAAGUUUUUACUGCGUAUUUGAAACAUUUGCUAAUUUUGCAAAAAUGUAUUUAUAUUUAACAUUUUUCAUAGUAUGUACGGUAUACAUCGCUUUUAUCUGUGAUUUUACUUGGAUAGCUGAGUCGAUUUAUUUUGGGCUUCAGUCGAGCAAUAGUAGAUCACUUAUUUAUUUAGUGCACGUUCUUGUGAAACAAAAAAAUGCCUCUGUUGCAUACAAUGUAUAUUUCAAUAAAAAAAAUAUGUACGUACU
rnacentral:misc_RNA from 1 species